UCAAUUUUUGCUACUUCAUGUCCAUCUCAUGUCAUUAUGUGCUUAUUGUUUUCAUCUUCCAGCUGGUCUUUAUGAAGAAUGAUAAUUUCAUGGUUAGGGCUAGAAUUUUCAGUGGAUGUAAAUUCCCAAACCGGUUAUGAAGCUAUAUGUAGAAGGUUCAAACGGUUCUUAUAUUGAAACAGAAGAGAGCACCAAUUUGGCUUCAUAGGACAAUCACUUGAUUUUGGUUUUAAACAGAGGAUAUAUUGGACCAUCUUCAAAGUGUACUGGAAAUAAUCUGUUGCAUUAAGGGUGUACAGUUCAUUGUAGAAGUUAAGAACUCAGGUAUGUCAUCUCUGUUUUUGGCAGUUUCACCCGUUCUCAUCAAGAAUAUUAUUCAAUAGCUCAAAAGUGUUCCAUCAUUGUUGCCACUACUUUUCUCGAUUUUGCUUUUCAGUUGUUCUAGUUCCAAAGUGAUAACCAGAGUAGCUGCUACAUAUUCUAAAUAACAUGCAUUUUGUUUGGUUCAGAGAAAAAACAUGAUGAGGCUGGUUAGAGCCUUUGUUGAUUCUGGAUGAAUAUAUCUUUGGAGUGAGCUUUUCUUAUUUGUGUGGUCGUGCUUUCAAUAGGCCCUCUGCAACAAUACAUAUUCUUCUUCUUCUACAUGAGGCUGCUACAUAUUCUUCUUCUUCUUCUUCUUCUUCUUCUUCUUCUUAUUAUUAUUAUUAUUAUUAUUAUUAUUAUUAUUAUUAUUAUUAUUAUUAUUAUUAUUAUUAUUAUUAUUAUUAUUAUUAUUAUUAUUAUUUUCGUUUCAGUCCUUAAAAUUGCAGCGAAAUGGUGCCAUUUUUUUUCCUUCAGUUUUUCAUCUUUUCUUCUUAGUCUCACUGCCAAUUUUUUUUAGUAUUGGCAGUUACAUGUGUUGUAUGACCUCUCUUCUUGCGGCUUGCUGAGAAUGCCCUUGGAAAUUUGCCUAAAUUGGCUUUUCUAUAAGAUUCUAUAUGCAGUGUUUUAAUUUAGAUAUAAUUUGCAUCUGAUCUGCUGUUGUCGCUACAUGUGAGCUUGUGGUGGUGAUUGGGGUUAUGUGUUAGCUCUAGCGAUGCUGACAUCAUGUAUAUUUAACUUUUCAUUUAUGUAUAUCAAGGUAUCAUGAUAUCAUAACAAAAUAAAAAGAAUUAUUACUACAUCUUAAUAUGGUGGAUCUUAUGUUUCUUGAUGUUGGAUUACGCCUCACUAUCUCUAUUAGGUAUGUUAUAAAUGUUUCAUCUGUGUAUUUCUAGGUAGAACCCUAAAAAUAUAAAAUGAGAGGGAAAACAGAGAAAGAAAAGUUCUACGAUAGAGAAGGGGCAGUUUGUAGAAAUUUUGGCUUUGAAUGUGCUUUCGUAUCAGACUAACACAAUAGGUAUUUUUUUCCUCAGAGGACACUCUCGGAAGUGAUGAUCUUGAUAGGGUAUCCAUUUGUCAGUACAAAUUGUAUAUAAAGAUCUUAAAGUAGCUAAGAUUUGGUACUAUUUUAUGCAUAUAAUUCUCUUCUGCAAUAAGCAAUUUCCCGAUUAAAACCAGACAUGGAUAGAGGAGGACAUAAGUCAUGCUUCUUCAGCCUUCGACAAAGUUCGCAGUUGUCUGAUAAUAUUACUUCUUAUAAAACGCAUUAGCUCAUUGCGAAAUAGAUGUUUUGUAAAGGUGGGCUAUCUGUGUGACCCGUGAGAUGCAUAGUUUAAUUAAAGGUAAAAUAGAUCAAGAUAAGCUUUUUGAAAUGACUGUAACUUAUGUAAUGAGAAGUACUACCUAUUGUUAUCAAAUAUUACCUAACACAAACAUUAGUUAAAGAUCUCUACCAAGAUUUCUGCUAUUUAGUACUAACAUAACCAUUACAAAAGUGGUGUUAAGGGUUAUUCCUUGUUAAAUAUGCUAUUUGAAUAAAACGAACUAAAGUUUUGACAAGUCAAAGUAUGUUGCCUAAACUAAAAAUAGUAUUUUGACAUAUCAUAGUAGUUUGAUUUCAUAAGACCGGGAGAUGUUUUUAAUAUCCCAACUCCAGAGCCGGAUUUAUCAUCGCGCUAUAUAGUAUAUACAUAUUGUACGAAAUGUUAGAGUUUAGCUCAUGUCUCCUGUGUAAUUUUUCAAUUGUAUAUAUGCUGACUGAAUUUUUUAUGUACUCCUUUGAUUUUAUAUGAGCUAUAACAUAAAACUACCACAACCUAUUUAAUAUGAUAAGCUUGGCUCAAUAUCCAUGAAAAGUACUCUUCCUCCUUCAGGCGAAAAAAUGGAAGUAACACAAUUGAUUCUACAGGCAUGGCUUGGCAGAGAUGAAAGGAAUUGAUUAGCGUUGUAGUUGACAAUUAACUAUCGCAGUCAAUCCUCAUAAAUAUGUCUCAUCAGUUUCUCUUCAUCUGAUACUUCACAAUUUUUGCUUUCUUUAUGCUAGCCUCUUCAAGUUGCUUUGUUGCUUUCCCUGACAACAUGGAUGAACAUGACUCGCUCUUUGUGUAUGAGUUGCUGCAACUCACAAGAAAUUUAAAGUUAAUACUGAUGUAAAAUUUUGUCAUUCCACCAUCUCCAAUAAAAGGUCAUUCAAUUUUCUACUUGCUUGUUCUUCCUUCCGGUUCAUUAUGAAUUCUUAGGUAUACAACCAUGAAACACAUGUCGGUCUAUAGAAUAAAAAAUCUCAUGUAUGUUGAUAGAAUUUCAAUAUUUUCAUCUUGAGAUAUCAUUACUUUCGGUAAUUGAAUUGCUUACGAAUAGAGACAGAAGCAUCAACUUCUGUGGAUCAAUUGUGACAGAUUGUGAUUACAUUGAAAAGUGAACAUGUUGGUGGAGCUUUCCUAAAAGUAAUAGAUUUAAGCUUCCCCCUACAAUUUCAUGAUGUUAGAUUUGUCUACUAACUGAUGCAUUGUGUUGGUAUGUAAUAGGUGUUUAUGAAGUGUUGCUGGAAAUGAACAAUGGUUGUUAAAGAAAGACUUAAAAGCCUAGAUUGUACCUUGGAGUAAAGACUACUUAGGCGCAUUUUGCAGUUCCAAGUGCAAUGAACGGAGCCGUAAGCGAAAAUGAGAUAUGGAAAUUAGGUCGUUCCGCAAUGCUGUGUGAUUUUGUACGACAUGGAAAGAUUGUACAAGAAAGAGGGAGGACUUGGAAGGUGACUUGAAACACCGAAAGACUUAAGCCCUAUAUAAUAGAGAUAAUAUUGGGUAUGUUGUCGUUCAUUUCCGAAUAUGCUGCUUGGGACAUAAGUGUCUUAUUUGUAUCAGGAUGGUAGAAUUGAAUGUAGAAUCUGUUGUUCCUUUGAGAUUCCUUCUUAGACAAGAUGGUAUAUAGGCAUGACUACCUGUAGACUUUUCCUAGGUUCCAGAUGGUAUACUGCAGCAUUCUCGGAUGUGGCCACUUGCAUUUCAUUGCGUUUUAUUUCUUUAUGGCCAUUUUCUUAUUGAUAUCUAUUCCUGGUUAUUAAAGUGUAGCGUAG
rnacentral:lncRNA from 1 species